AUUCUGCCCAAGCGGGGAAGGAUGAGAAGCUUCGACUAAGGUUCGAUUCGAGCGAAAGCGAGAGAACGUUGCCACAGGCAACGGCCCGAAGGGCGAAGCGCGCAGCGCUGAGUAAUCCUUCCCCCACCACCA
rnacentral:sRNA from 1 species